rnacentral:rRNA from 1 species
ACUCAAAUGAAUAGACGGGGGCUCACACAAGCGGUGGAGCAUGUGGCUUAAUUCGAAGCAACGCGAAGAACCUUAUCCAAGGCUUGACAUGCACGGAUUAGUUGGAUGAAAGUUCAAUGACACUCGCAAGAGUGGAACGUGCACAGGUGCUGCAUGGCUGUCGUCAGCUCGUGCUGUGAAGUGUCGCGUUAAGUCGCUUAACGAGCGAAACCCCUAUCAUUAGUUGCCAGCGGGUAAUGCCGGGGACUCUAAUGAGACUGCCGGUGUCAAACCGGAGGAAGGUGGGGAUGACGUCAAGUCCUCAUGGCCUUUAUGCCUUGGGCUGCACACGUGCUACAAUGCGGCCGACAAUGCGACGCAAGACCGUAAGGUGGAGCAAAUCGCAAAAAAGGUCGCCCAGUUCAGAUUGAGGUCUGCAACCCGACCUCAUGAAGUUGGAAUCGCUAGUAAUCGGGGAUCAGCUACGCCCCGGUGAAUAUGUUCCUGAGCCUUGUACACACCGCCCGU